rnacentral:rRNA from 1 species
UGAACUGCGGAGGGAUCAUUACUGAGUUACCUUUCUAUAACCCUUUGUGAACAUACCUACACUGUUGCUUCGGCGGGUAGGCCGUCCCCUGAAAAGGACGCCUCCCGGCCCGGACCGGACCCCCCGCGGGACCGGACCCGGCGCCCGCCGGAGGAUAACCAAACUCUAUUGUAACGACCUUUCUUCUGAGUGGCAUAAGCAAAAUAAUCAAAACUUUUAACAACGGAUCUCUUGGUUCUGGCAUCGAUGAAGAACGCAGCGAAAUGCGAUAAGUAAUGUGAAUUGCAGAAUUCAAUGAAUCAUCGAAUCUUUGAACGCACAUUGCGCCCGCCAGCAUUCUGGCGGGCAUGCCUGUUCGAGCGUCAUUUCAACCCUCAAGCUCUGCUUGGUGUUGGGGCUCUACGGUCGACGUAGGCCCUCAAAGGUAGUGGCGGACCCUCCCGGAGCCUCCUUUGCGUACUAACAUUUCCUCUCGCAUUGGGAUCCGGACCGACUCUCGCCUUAGAAUCCCCCAUUUUUCCAAAGGUUGACCUCGGAUCAAGUAA